rnacentral:lncRNA from 1 species
UUUAGGCUCUCUUUCUUUUGGAAGAUUGGCCACGGUUCCUCUGUUUCCUUAUGGCACGACAAUUGGCUGGAAUGUGGCCCGCUUCUCUUACUUAUCCCGCCGGACCUUGUGGAGAGCUGUCGCCUUCCAAGCUAUUCUGUAGUGGCGGACCUUUAUUCUCCCGUGGGUGCUUCUUUGAGAGACUUCCUCGCAAAUAUGGGAAUUACUAUACCCAU